rnacentral:lncRNA from 1 species
AUGGGGGGCAUGACGGGGUCUCGAGGUAAGACGGGGUACCGCACACAAACAAGAAACUACACGUUGGUGAAUAGCAUGCAGUAACUCAAUAGGAAGAGUCAUUCGACUAACGGUCCCUGCAAGAGAAACCGUGAAUGAGAGUGCACGCGUUUUUUGUUUACAAACGGAAAACUGUUUUAGCGAUCCGUUGAUCUAAUUUUGUGCAAGGACAACCAUCGUUAUUUUAAGUUACCUUUUGAGGCAAGAUGGGGUAUUGGGUGCGGGGUAUGAUGGGACAUUGGUGAUAAUACCAUGGUACGUACUUACAAGAAAAAAACAAAAAGAGGAGAGUGGUCGAGAGAUGCUAUGAAAACAGCCAUAGAUAAAGUGACAUCGUCAGAACCCUGGGUAGGCUGCUAGAUCUGUGGAUGUUGAGCUCACAAUGCUUGUGCUAGGGUGGACAAUGAAG